CUGCUCAAUGAAUUAUUAUUUAAAUAGCUGCAGUAUCCUAACUGUACAAAGGUAGCAUAAUCAUUUGUCUUUUUAUUAAAGUCUGGAAUGAAAGAUUGAAUGAAAUAAAAUCUGUCUCAAAUUAAUUAAAAUUUAAAAUUUAUUUUAAGUAAAAAUUCUUAAAUUUAAUAAAAAGACGAGAAGACCCUAUAGAAUUUUAUAAUAUAAUAUUAUGAAUUUAAUUAAAUAAAUAACUAAUAAUAUUAAAUUAUUUUAUUGGGGUGAUAUAAAAAUUUGAAAAAUUUUUUAUUUAAUCUUUACAUUAUAAAUGAAUUAUUUUAUCCAAUAUAAUUGAAUAAAUAUUAAAUUACCUUAGGGAUAACAGCGUAAAAUUUUUGGAGAGUUCAUAUUGAUAAAAGUUUUUGCGACCUCGAUGUUGAAUUAAAAUAAAUUAUUAUUGAAGAUAAUAAUAUA
rnacentral:rRNA from 1 species